rnacentral:rRNA from 1 species
GACGAACGCUGGCGGCGUGCCUAACACAUGCAAGUUGAGCGACGAACCAGGGCUUGCCCUGGGGCAAAGCAGCGAACGGGUGAGUAACACGUGGGUAACCUACCCCGAUAACCGGGACAACCCGAGGAAACUCGGGCUAAUACCGGAUGUGCUCACUGGACUCCGUUCAGUGCGUAAAGGAAGCUUCGGCCUCCGUAUCGGGAGGGGCCCGCGGCCCAUUAGUUUGUUGGUGAGGUAACGGCUCACCAAGACCGCGAUGGGUAGCUGGUCUGAGAGGACGAUCAGCCACACUGGGACUGAGACACGGCCCAGACUCCUACGGGAGGCAGCAGUGGGGAAUCUUGCGCAAUGCGCGAAAGCGUGACGCAGCAACGCCGCGUGGGGGAAGAAGGCCUUCGGGUUGUAAACCCCUUUCAGGAGGGACGAAGGUUCGGCGGUGAAUAGCCGUCCGGACUGACGGUACCUCCACAAGAAGCCCCAGCUAACUACGUG